rnacentral:lncRNA from 1 species
UCAGGGCCGUAACUAGCCUCUUAUAAUAUUGAGGCAAAAUAUAUUCGCCGAGCGUAGCGAGGUGAAAAAAAAUCUGCGUUGGGUCUCGGGGCCGCUUAAGGCCCCCAGAAGCUCUGAGAAAAAUAACGCAAGAUCGUACAUUCUGAGCGUUUCCCGGACUCUUUCUUACAUUGAAACGUAAUUAAUUUUAAGCUAUUUCUUUUGACAAUAUUCUUGUCUUAAAGCAAAAACUCAUUGUAAUUUAAGACUUUCAGGUUUUACGGGGACAACAUUAAAAGUAGACCGGCCGAUAUGUAGAAUAAAGCAAAAACCGAAAUUCUCAUAAUCAUUAUGUCUGUCUGUUCUUGUCUUGUCUUGUAUUGUGCUUAAUUCAGACUUUGGUGAUUUUUUUAUGGCUAGAUUGAAAUAGAGUGACAGUGCAGUAUUAUAUUUUAAGUACUAGUACUGCUUAAGUCGACACUAAGGACCAUCUUGACCUUGUUUUAUGGUAUUAAUGAUUCUUUUAUUGUUGAAGACCCUCCAUCAUCUAUCAAGAUGAAGAAUAGGGGGAAAAAACUUUGGCCAUUGAUCAUUUGUAUUUUUUCUAUGCAUUGACUUCGUGUGAGAUAAGGUCCUGUGCACGUUUACUCCAUAUUCUUUUUUUCUGUUUAAGAGUCUAAACACGACUUCAUGCAAGUUUAAUCCUUCA